rnacentral:lncRNA from 10 species
AACAGUGGCAACUUGUUCGGGUAUCCUUCCCCAGUGUGGAAGCUUUAGUUCUUUUGCUCUUUGCAAUGAAUCUUGCUGCUGCUCACUCUUUGGGUCCACGCUGCGUUUACACUGUGUUUAUGAGCUGUAACACUCACCACAAAGGUCUGCAGCUUCACUCCUGAAGCCAGCAAAGACCACGAACCCACCAGGAAGAAGGAACAACUCCAGACACGCAGCCUUAAGAGCUGUAACACUCACUGCCAAGGUCUUCAGCUUCACUCCUGAGCCAGCCAGACCAUGAACCCACCAGAAGGAAAAAACUCGGAACACAUCCCAACAUCAGAAGGAACAAACUCUGGACAUGCCGCCUUUAAGAACUGUAACAACGCAAGGGUCCGCGGCUUUAUUCUUGAAGUCAGUAAGACCAAGAACCCAAUUCCGGACACGUUUGGACCAUUACUUCACCAAAGUACAGUUCCUACAGGAAGAUAAUGAUCUGACCUAACCUACUAUUGGCUGAAGGUAUAGCAAAACCAACAGAUCAGGACACGACUGCCAUUGAAGAGAUAGUUUGUCAUACUCACAGAU